UAUGAAAAGUCCAAAAUAGGGCAAAUCUAUCAAGAUGGAAAGCAGAUUGCUGGUUUCCUAGAGCUGGGAUAAUGAGAAGAUUGAGGAACGAUGGCUAAGAGGUGCUUUGCCUCAGGGUUUGGAGCUCAGUCGGAAAUACCCAUGUGAUUCGCUGGCUUCUGAGUUCAGCAACUUUUCCUGGGACACCUCCUAAGUGAACUACUGUCAGGUGAUGGGUUUAUCAUCACCUGGCUCUCAGGAGAGUUCCAGUCUGCAUGUACAGAAGAACAGAUGUUUUGAACAGAAUUUCCUAACAAGGAAACUGCUGCACAUUCCCCAUUGGACAACAGGUAAAGGCUCUGUCCAGUACUUCUAGCCUCAGCUGGGCUGUUGGGAGUCUACCUCAAGUGAAGAUGCCAAGUAGGCAGUUAGCUGGAUGCAUGGAUUUGGAGCUUAGGAGUGAGAUUUGGCCUAGAGAUGAAAAGUUGAGAGGAGUCAACAUUGGAUGGUAAGUGAAGACAUUGAAGUAAAUUAAAUCAUUCAAGCAUAAAGGGAGAAGAAAGGAGGGUAUAUUUGCUUGUUAGGGCUGCCACAACAAAGUACUACAGACUGAGUGAUUUAAACAGUAGAAAUUUGUUUUCUCACAAUUCUGGAGGCUAGAAGUCCAAGAUCCAGGUGUCAGUAGGGUUGGUUUCUUCUGAAGCCUCUCUCCUUGGCUUAGAAGAUGGCCAUCUUCUCCCUAUGUCUUCCCUCUGUAUCUGUCUGUGUCCAAAGUCCUCUUCUCAUAAGGUUACCAACCAUAUUAGAUUAGGACCCACCCUAAUGACCUCAUUUUAAUCUUUGAAUUGUCUUUAAAGACCCUAUCUCCAAAUAUGUCACAUGCUAAUGUACUGGAGGUUAGGACUUCCAUAUAUGAAUUUGAGAGGGGUCAUAAUUCAGCCCAUAACAGAGAUCAUUAACUAAGGCCAAAGGAACUCCAACAUUUAAAGGUCAGGAAGUAGAGGAAAAACCAGCAAAAGAGACUUGAAAAAGAUUUUAUCAUAAAGGUAGGAAGGUAAUCAAGAGAGUAUCCCAAAUGCCAAAGGAAGAAAACAUUUCCAGGAGGGCAUGAUCAGCAGUGUCAAAUGGUGCUAUGAGGUCAAACUUGAUAUCCUUCGGGUUUAGUAAAAGGUAAAGCAUUGAUGACUUUGUUGAGAACAUGAUGCAUUGGCAUGGUGAAGUGAAAGUCUGAUUGAAACAUAGUAAGCAAUGAAUAUAAGAGAAUAAAAUAGGGUCAUCUAACUUCUCUGGAGUUGGAAACUGAGUGGAGAGAAUCGGAAAGAUGCCAGGCUUUACCGUGGCACAUACUGAAGACUGGCUCAUGAAGCCCCCACCUCAACACCCUUUUAGCUUCCUUUACUGUCCUGAAUUACAUUUGUUGAGUCCCUAAUCUGUGCCAGACACUGUUUUAAAAGCUUGGGGUACACCUAAGAACAAUAAAUAACCCUGCUCUCACGGAGCUUAAAUUCUUGUGAAGAGAGACAGACUGUAAGCAUUAAACAUAAUAAUAAUAUAUCAUAAUUAAACAUAAACAAUAAACUAUAAAAUUAUAUAUAGAUUAGUAGGUAUAAAAACUGAGGAAAAAAAAAGUAAGGGGAAUGGAGUAAAGGAAUGGGAAUUCCAGGAAAUGAGGAAGAAAAGCUACACUAUUAAAUAUCAAGUAAAGGGGGAUACAGUUAAUGAAAAAUAUGCAACACUUCUACACUUAGAACCACCAAACAAUCUGAGAAAUAUAAGAAGAGCAAAUACAUAGAGAGAUGUACAGUUGUGUGGAUUUUUUCCACACCAACACAAAUUCCCCAACUGGACACAAACUGAGUGUCUAAUGAUUCAAUUCAAUUUGGACACUAAAUACCCAGAGUUAGCAUCAGACCCCACAGCCUAAUGGCUCCGUCUGCCCCGACUGCAGACACUCGUUCAAACUUUCAGACCUCUCAUGCAUCUCGGGUUUGAUAAUUUGGUACGACAGCUCACAGAACUCAGGAAAGCACUUCACUUACUAUUAUUGGUUUAUUAUAAAGGAUAUUAUAAAGGAUACAACUGGCUAGCCAGAUAGAGUACAUAGAUUGAGGUCUAAAAGCAUCCCAAGUACAGGAGCUUCUGCCCCCAGGGAGUUAAAGAUAUACCACUCUCUCAGAAUGUGGAUGUGUUUACCAGCCUAGAAGCUCUCUGAAUCCCAUAGUUUAGGGGUUUUAAUGGAGGUUUCGGUAUGUAGGCAUAGUUGAUGAAAUCACUGGCCAUUGGUGAUCUCCAGCCCCUCUUCCCUCCCAGGAGUUUGGAGUGGGAGGCUGACUCAAGAGAGAAGAGCUAAUCUUUAAGCUUAUUGAGAUAAACUUUACAUUUUAAGUAAUAUGAAGC